GACGAACGCUGGCGGCGUGCUUAACACAUGCAAGUCGAGCGGUAAGGCCCUUUCGGGGGUACACGAGCGGCGAACGGGUGAGUAACACGUGGGUGACCUGCCCUUAGCUCUGGGAUAAGCCUGGGAAACUGGGUCUAAUACCGGAUAUGACCUCAUGACUCAUGUUGUGGGGUGGAAAGCCUUGUGCGGCUAGGGAUGGGCCCGCGGUCUAUCAGCUUGUUGGUGGGGUAAUUGCCACCAAGGCGACGACGGGUAGCCGGCCUGAGAGGGCGACCGGCCACACUGGGACUGAGACACGGCCCAGACUCCUACGGGAGGCAGCAGUGGGGAAUCUUGCGCAAUGGGCGAAAGCCUGACGCAGCGACGCCGCGUGAGGGAUGAC
rnacentral:rRNA from 1 species